CAGAAAAUGCUUGAUUAGAUCCACUGCUUGUUUCUUAGAAAUAUUGUGAGUGUGUUUUGAUUGGGCAGCGGCCAGACAACCGUAGUGAUGGUAUCCACAGAUGGUGAGUUCUAUUACCUCACUUGUCUACUGAUUCCAUCUCACAUUU